rnacentral:lncRNA from 1 species
GGUGGGAAAAGAAGAAACAAGUGGGGGAAAAAAUUAUAUUCAAUUUUCUUAGUUUUAGUCUUUUUUUUUUUUAAAAAAUAAUUAUUAUUUUUAGUCUAAAUUUUGAUAUUCACGCUCCCUUAACGCAUGAAAUCAGGUGUUUGUGCCAAUUUAACAAUUAAGUUGCCACACAAGCUUAAUCAAUGGUCAGAAUGGCUUAAAAUAUUGAGUUUCAUUAAGUUUAAGGGUUCAAUUGACAACUGAUCAAGUAGAAGGGUCAAUAAUACAAACGCAUAUAAGUAUAAGGAUCCAUCAGACCAUUUAGCCAUUAUUUUUUUUUAAUA